AGAGCAUUGUAAAGCGAUAACGACGAGAAGUGGAAGGGAGUUGAUUAGUGAGAGUAAAAAAAGAGAUGAGAGUGAAAAAAAAGAGGAUGAGAAAAAAGAUGAGGAGAAAAAAUAGAGGAUAGCAUUGAUGGUGAAGUUGGGGAGUGGAGUGAGGAAGAAGUUGAAAAGAAUGAAAAAAAUGGUGAAGUAGAAAAUAAAGAAAGUGU
rnacentral:lncRNA from 1 species